rnacentral:rRNA from 1 species
AAAAUGACUAUUGGCAACAGAUAUCUCGGCUGUUGUAUCGAUGAAGAACGUAGUGAAGUGCGAUACUAGGUGUGAAUUGCAGAAUCCCGUGAACCAUCGAGUCUUCGAACGCAACUUGCGCCGCAAGCCACUAGGCCGAGGGCACGCCUGCCUGGGUGUCACG